rnacentral:rRNA from 1 species
GAUGAACGCUGGCGGCGUGCCUAAUACAUGCAAGUCGAGCGAAUGGAUUAAGAGCUUGCUCUUAUGAAGUUAGCGGCGGACGGGUGAGUAACACGUGGGUAACCUGCCCAUAAGACUGGGAUAACUCCGGGAAACCGGGACUAAUACCGGAUAACAUCUUGAACCGCAUGGUUCGAAAUUGAAAGGCGGCUUCGGCUGUCACUUAUGGAUGGACCCGCGUCGCAUUAGCUAGUUGGUGAGGUAACGGCUCACCAAGGCAACGAUGCGUAGCCGACCUGAGAGGGUGAUCGGCCACACUGGGACUGAGACACGGCCCAGACUCCUACGGGAGGCAGCAGUAGGGAAUCUUCCACAAUGGACGAAAGUCUGACGGAGCAACGCCGCGUGAGUGAUGAAGGCUUUCGGGUCGUAAAACUCUGUUGUUAGGGAAGAACAAGUGCUAGUUGAAUAAGCUGGCACCUUGACGGUACCUAACCAGAAAGCCACGGCUAACUACGUGCCAGCCGCCGCCGUAA